CGCCAGACUCCUACGGGAGGCAGCAGUGGGGAAUAUUGCACAAUGGGGGAAACCCUGAUGCAGCAACGCCGCGUGAGUGAGGAGGUAUUUCGGUAUGUAAAGCUCUAUCAGCAGGGAAUAGAAAAGAAGGUACCUGAAAAAGAAGCCCCGGCUAACUACGUGCCAGCAGCCGCGGUAAUACGUAGGGGGCAAGCGUUAUCCGGAUUUACUGGGUGUAAAGGGAGCGUGGACGGAAAGGCAAGUCAGAAGUGAAAGCCCAAGGGUCAACCAUGGGACUGCUUUUGAAACUGUCGAACUAGAGUGCGGGGGAGGGAAGAGGAAUUCCUAGUGUGGCGGUGAAAUGCGUAGAUAUUAGGAGGAGCACCAGUGGCGAAGGCGUCUUACUGGGCCGAAACUGACGUUGAGGCUCGAAAGCGUGGGGAGCAAACAGGGUUAGAUACCCCCG
rnacentral:rRNA from 1 species